GUACUUCGUUCAUCUUGGAAGUUGUUCGCGAACACGUAUACGCUUAAAAGUACUACUAAAUGCUGAACAAUUCUGAGAAGCCACAUCCAGCAAAUAAAAUAAUUCCCCCAAUAUAUAUCGCUCCCUGCGUUCCCGCCAAAAAUCACUAAUCCCUACGCUUUUCUAUGCAAUGCGCUCACAUGAUGGCGAUGAUUUUCCAAGCCCAACGAUGCCAGGCAUAGAUAGAUUACCCAUAUCUUAGUAUUCGAGAUGCCAGGUGUAGGUAUUAUAAUUGCAGUAAAUUUACUGUUAUUUUUUUGCUAUCACCGUCUACUGUAUUGCAAAAAUAGUGUAUUAAAAUAUUUAUGAAUUUCAGGCUUAAAAACUUUUAGACAAAAAGCAGUGUAGGCAUGUGAAUAUAUGCAGAGGGAAAUCCCCGCGAAACAGUUUCUUUCAAUUGAAUUAAUGGUAUCUUCUGUACUUUCAUGGGCACUAAAGAUUUAUAGACAAUUAUUAUUCUACAAAACAUAAUUUAACAAAAAGUAAAUCAAUUGGUACUUAUUUUCCUUUAGAUUUGUUUUAAAAAAUUGCGGUAGCACUGUGAGAUUCUUAUCUUUACGUAACUUCCUUACACAUUUCGGUCGUAUUAAUUCAAGGUUAUUCAGCUAAACAAAUAAUCGGUUGGAGAAAGUGAUAAUGAAGGAUUCCCUACACCUAAAAGAAAAAUAAAUUAUAAACAAUCCCGCGAUAAGUUACGGCAUAAAAAUUUCAAAGUGUGUGUGACAUGAUUAAUAUCCAUAAGGGGAUUAAUGUGUCUCUAGCGACACAUCGAUGAUUGCUAACAUGUGGGCAUUGAAACGCCACAGUGAAUUGCACAAACGUAUCAAGGCAUUUCGGAUCCUCCCGAUCCACUAUCGGCGCUUUUAGGUACCUCAAGCACCGGUCAAUGUGCUCGUCGAACUCGUCGCUUGCGACUAAGGGCUCGGCAAAUUAACCCUCAGACACACACAUUCCACUGAGUUUCUCUCCGGAUCUUCUCAGAGAGUCGCGUUUCCGAUCCGGUGGUAGAUUCUGCGAAACCAUGUUCUUGCCAGAGCUAGUGUUAGCAACUUCGUCAGGUUAGAGCCCCGUAAGCUCACCUACUCGCCCGGUGUUGAACUGGCAUAACCCCUCAAGCAUAGGCAGGAAAACAACACAAACGUAUUUUUAAAAGUCAAACUUCGGAACUGCGGAAAUAAAGUUAGCAACUUUUGUGACAGCUUGGAAGUUAGAGUAUCUAGUGGGGUCAUAGAUUAUCUAAUUGAGAUUUGCUGCAAACAUUUUAUGGUUCUGAGAUUGCAAAUAAUGAAACUCAAAGCAGAUCAUUAUAAAUCAAACCCAGAAAAUUAUAAUUUGCAUAAUUACUGGUGGUAGGUAGGAUGUCUUAGAUUUUGUUGUAUUUCAACAAAUAUUGUAAAUUUUUAUAGCUUAUGAUCAAAAUGGUUACAAUACAGAUCAUAUUUAAAGUAAACCAUCAACACUGGUAGAUCCUGUAUUAAAUGAAGUUUACCUUAAGAUCAUUGAAGUUACACUUUAAACAAGUUAUAUUGGUGGAAUACUAUACAUAGAGCACAAAGGAAUUGUGACAUUAUGCUGUGGACAAGUUCUAAAAUUUAUUUAAUGCAUUACUGCUUUCCAUUUAACAAAAGUUGUUUUUCACAACUAUUCUAAACCUCUACGCAGAGCUUUUUCACAAUUAUAUUAUCAAUAUAACAUGUUUUCUUAUUGCUGAACCAUCAACCCAUGUAACAAAGUCCUCCAGUGAUCUGUUGACAAGGAAUGCAGGAUCCUUCACUACUUCAGGUCCCACUCUUACAUGUCCUUGUUCAAUAAACUUUGUGGCUUCUUUAAUAGUUUCUGACAUUUUAUCUGUGCAUUUAUAAACAUCAAUAAUUAUAAAUGACAUUUAUUAAUAAAAAUGCAAAUUCCAAGAAA